rnacentral:rRNA from 1 species
CAGUCGCCGCGGGAAUACGAAGGGUGCAAGCGUUACUCGGAAUUACUGGGCGUAAAGCGUGCGUAGGCGGUGGUUUAAGUCCGUUGUGAAAGCCCUGGGCUCAACCUGGGAAUUGCAGUGGAUACUGGAUCACUAGAGUGUGGUAGAGGAUAGUGGAAUUUCCGGUGUAGCAGUGAAAUGCGUAGAGAUCGGAAGGAACAUCUGUGGCGAAGGCGACUAUCUGGGCCAACACUGACACUGAGGCACGAAAGCGUGGGGAGCAAACAGGAUUAGAUACCCCGGUAGUCCCUGUCUCUUAUAC